rnacentral:rRNA from 1 species
CCUACGGGAGGCAGCAGUGGGGAAUAUUGCACAAUGGGCGAAAGCCUGAUGCAGCAAUACCGCGUGUGUGAAGAAGGCCUGCGGGUUGUAAAGCACUUUCAAUCGUGACGAAAAGCCUAGGGUUAAUACCCUUGGGUCUUGACAUUAGCGAUACAAGAAGCACCGGCUAACUCCGUGCCAGCAGCCGCGGUAAUACGGAGGGUGCAAGCGUUAAUCGGAAUUACUGGGCGUAAAGCGUGCGUAGGCGGUUUAUUAAGUCAGAUGUGAAAGCCCCGGGCUUAACCUGGGAACUGCAUUUGAUACUGGUAGACUAGAGUAUGGUAGAGGGGGGUAGAAUUCCUAGUGUAGCGGUGAAAUGCGUAGAUAUUAGGAGGAAUACCAGUGGCGAAGGCGGCCCCCUGGACCAAUACUGACGCUGAGGUACGAAAGCGUGGGUAGCGAACAGGAUUAGAUACCCUGGUAGUCCACGCCGUAAACGAUGUCAACUAGCCGUUGGAGUCUUGAGGCUUCAGUGGUGCAGCUAACGCGUGAAGUUGACCGCCUGGGGAGUACGGCCGCAAGGCUAAAACUCAAAUGAAUUGACGGA